UUCUAACCAUAAACGAUGCCAGCUAGCGAUCCGCCGACGUUCCUCCGAUGACUCGGCGGGCAGCUUCCGGGAAACCAAAGCUUUUGGGUUCCGGGGGAAGUAUGGUUGCAAAGCUGAAACUUAAAGGAAUUGACGGAAGGGCACCACCAGGAGUGGAGCCUGCGGCUUAAUUUGACUCAACACGGGAAACCUCACCAGGCCCGGACACCGGAAGGAUUGACAGAUUGAGAGCUCUUUCUUGAUUCGGUGGGUGGUGGUGCAUGGCCGUUCUUAGUUGGUGGAGCGAUUUGUCUGGUUAAUUCCGAUAACGAACGAGACUCUAGCCUGCUAACUAGGCGUAUUAGACAUCCUAAAGGCCCGCCGGCUCUCGGGUCGGCGCGGUUUUUACUGUCUGCGUAAAUUAUAUUCUUCUUAGAGGGACAGGCGGCUUCCAGCC
rnacentral:rRNA from 1 species